GACGAACGCUGGCGGCGUGCUUAACACAUGCAAGUCGAACGGUGAUGAUCAAGCUUGCUUGGUCUGAUCAGUGGCGAACGGGUGAGUAACACGUGAGCAACCUGCCCCAGACUCUGGGAUAACCCCGGGAAACCGGAGCUAAUACCGGAUAUGACACUCGCACGCAUGUGCUGGGUGUGGAAAGUUUUUCGGUCUGGGAUGGGCUCGCGGCCUAUCAGCUUGUUGGUGAGGUAGUGGCUCACCAAGGCGACGACGGGUAGCCGGCCUGAGAGGGCGACCGGCCACACUGGGACUGAGACACGGCCCAGACUCCUACGGGAGGCAGCAGUGGGGAAUAUUGCACAAUGGGCGAAAGCCUGAUGCAGCGACGCCGCGUGAGGGAUGACGGCCUUCGGGUUGUAAACCUCUUUCAGCAGAGAAGAAGCGCAAGUGACGGUACCUGCAGAAGAAGCACCGGCUAACUACGUGCCAGCAGCCGCGGUAACAC
rnacentral:rRNA from 1 species